rnacentral:misc_RNA from 1 species
GGCGAAGGAAAAUUCAUAAAAUGCAACCCACCAGACAUAGAACCCCUAUAUAUAUUGGGACUAGCACUAAAAGAUGGAAAUGUCGCCAUGGGGUCACCGCUUAUCACUUGGUUAUUACUAGGAUUAGAAACCAUCCAAAAUGUCGCCGGGAUCGGACUGUGAGUCGUCGGAAUUGGCCCUGUACUAGUUGAUUGCAACAAAUAGCUCCCCAUCUGAUGACCUAAUUCAUGCUCCGGCCUUCGCUUUCUCCCUAGACUAGUCUCCCCAUCGGUGACAUCUAGACAAGAAGUGUCUCCACCUCCUCGUACUUGUUUAUUAGCAGGCGAUCCAUGUAAAACAACAGAGGUAUUCAAAUUCCCACCUACAUUAUUAUUACUUGAACUAAUGGAAUUAAAGCUUAGUGAAUCAUCCGGAGGAAACAAAAUCCUUCGGUGCUGCUGGGAAGCUGAGGAUGCUUCAUCAACGACUAUGUUCCUCUCCCACUCACUCCUCGAGCGUAGCUGUUGAUGGACAGCGAAGUUGGGAUUGAAAUAAGUGUUCCUCAGAUGGUGAGAGGCGGAGAUGGAAGACCC